CAGCAGAAGUACAUCAUUGAACAGGAGCUUAGCCUCAAGAAUACAUCAUAAAAGAAAGAAAGAGGCGCCAAAAUAAAUCAGGACAAUAUCUAAAGCUGCAGCUGGGCUGUCAGCUGAAGAGAGAGUAUGUAUAUAAAGCAGGUUAUUAUCCAAGGAUUUAGAAGCUUUAAAGAUCAAACAGAAGUAGAACCAUUCAGUCCAAAGCAUAAUGUAAUUGUUGGUAGAAAUGGAUCAGGGAAAAGUAACUUCUUUUUUGCAAUACAGUUUGUAUUAAGUGAUGAUUUCACUCAUUUAAAACCUGAUGACAGACAGCAGCUGCUACACGUAAGACACAGAGAGAGA